AUGAACAUUUGCACUUCAUCCAGGCCCCUUUUCGGAAAAAAGGAGGAGGCUCAUAGCAGGAAAAGGAGCCACAAUACUUUGAUGUCCAGUAGGACUGAAGUUGAACGAAAAUUAAUGAUGUGUUACAGAUUUCACAUUACGCCUUCCAAAAUAUACUACUUGGGACCUGAGAAAGAAGUUUCAAAUUAUGUGGUCAAGCAUCAUGGAAUGUAUGCUUCUAACUUUGCUAGAGUUACUUUUGUUGACGAAGACUGGAGUACGCUUUUUCUAGAUGCUACCUCUACUAGAACUGGAUGA
rnacentral:rRNA from 1 species